UACGUAGGCAGCAAGCGUUGUUCGGAGUUACUGGGCGUAAAGGGUGCGUAGGCGGGCAGGUAAGUCCGUGGUGAAAUCUCUGAGCUUAACUCAGAAACUGCCAUGGAUACUAUUUGUCUUGAAUGUUGUGGAGGUAAGCGGAAUAUGUCAUGUAGCGGUGAAAUGCUUAGAUAUGACAUAGAACACCAAUUGCGAAGGCAGCUUACUACACAAAUAUUGACGCUGAGGCACGAAAGCGUGGGGAUCAAACAGG
rnacentral:rRNA from 1 species